AUGGAGGUCCCGCCCCGGCUUUCCCAUGUUCCGCCGCCAUUGUUCCCCUCCGCUCCCGCUACUUUAGUCUCCCGCAGCCUCUCCCAUUGGCGGCCUCGAGUGCCAAGGCAGCUCGCCCCACUACUCCCUUCGCUCGCUUCCAACUCCGUCCGGCAGGGGGCGCGCCGAGCCCAGCGCCACGUCACCGCCCAACAGCCCUCCCGAUUGGCGGGCGCGGAGGCUAUAAAGGGAGGGCGCAGGCGGCGCCCAGAUCUCUUCCGCCGCCAUUUUAAACCCAGCUCCAUACAACGCUCCGCAGCCGCCGCGACUCGAAUCACGCGCCAGCACCUCCCGGUCGACAAUUCUGCCACCAUGGAGGACGUGAACGAGUACAGCAACACAGAGGAAUUUGCAGAGGGAUCCAAGAUCAACGCGAGCAAGAAUCAGCAGGAUGACGGUAAAAUGUUUAUUGGAGGCUUGAGCUGGGAUACAAGUAAGAAAGAUCUGACUGAAUACUUGUCUCGAUUUGGAGAAGUUGUGGACUGCACAAUUAAAACAGAUCCAGUCACCGGAAGAUCAAGAGGAUUUGGCUUUGUGCUUUUCAAAGAUGCUGCUAGUGUUGAUAAGGUUUUGGAACUAAAGGAACACAAACUGGAUGGCAAAUUGAUAGACCCUAAAAGAGCCAAAGCUUUAAAAGGGAAGGAACCCCCCAAAAAGGUUUUUGUGGGUGGAUUGAGCCCAGAUACUUCGGAAGAACAAAUUAAAGAAUAUUUUGGAGCCUUUGGUGAGAUUGAAAAUAUUGAACUUCCCAUGGAUACAAAAACAAAUGAAAGAAGAGGUUUUUGUUUUAUCACAUACACAGAUGAGGAGCCUGUAAAGAAAUUGUUAGAAAGCAGAUAUCAUCAAAUUGGUUCUGGGAAGUGUGAAAUCAAAGUUGCCCAACCCAAAGAGGUAUAUAGGCAGCAACAGCAACAACAGAAAGGAGGAAGAGGUGCUGCAGCUGGUGGAAGAGGUGGUGCUAGGGGUCGUGGCAGAGGUCAGGGCCAAAACUGGAACCAAGGAUUUAAUAACUAUUACGAUCAAGGAUAUGGAAAUUACAAUAGUGCCUAUGGUGGUGAUCAAAGCUAUAGUGGCUAUGGCGGCUAUGAUUAUACUGGGUAUAACUAUGGGAACUAUGGAUAUGGACAGGGAUAUGCAGACUACAGUGGCCAACAGAGCACUUAUGGCAAGGCAUCUCGAGGGGGUGGCAAUCACCAAAACAAUUAUCAACCAUACUAAAGGAGGGCAUUGGAGAAAACAGCGGGAACUUCAUUGCAGGCCGUGUGUCACCCUGACCACGUCUAUCUCUGGGGGUCGCACGUUGCGGGCAGAGCGCAAGGCAUACACCAGAAAACGCUGUCCUGUGGAGGAGAUUGCUAAAGUAAUCCAUCUUGCAGGACAACAAUGAAGAUUGGUCUUCUGUUGCUCUAAGAUGAUUAUUUUGUAAAAGACUUUCUAGUGUACAAGACACAACUGUAUCCAACUGUAUAUAGCUGCCAAUUAGUUUUCUUUGUUUUUACUUUGUCUUUUGCUAUGUGUUAUAAUUCAAUGUGGAUUUGUGUUUAUACAAAUUUUAUUUGUAUAAUUUCAUGUUAAACCUCAAAUAAAUGCUUCCUUAUGUGAUUGUUUUUCUGUGUCAGGUACUAAAUAGCUCUGUAAAAGUGUGAUUUUAAGUAAGCAAUAAUUAAGGCAUGGUUUAUUUUGUAAGGAGUAUUGGUUCAUGAGGAGGAACUGUGGUCCUUAUGAAUAGCCAACUACAGUGUCACCCUGUUGCCCAUCUUUGUUAGAUGUAUUCUCUUCUCCCAGUGUUCAUUUCCUUGUUAACUAAGGUGUCACGGAUGUUUCUGUGUCGUAGUCACUGUUGUGAUUAGUGGAAGGUUUCUCGUAGACCAUGAGUUUUCUAAAGAUUAUAUUCUGAAAAAAACCGUUUAAUGGCACAGAGCAUGUUGAUAGCUCCUUUCAUGGAUACUAAUGGUUUGGCUUUCUCUCCCUGGAAAAGCUAUUCUUUAUGAUUUGCUAAAUAUUUUAACAAUUGGUUUGUUAGCACCUUUAAGUAAUCAUAAUACCAUAACUAAUUGAUCAGAGUCCAGAUAUACCUAGGGGGAAAGCACUGUUAUACUGGUAGGAGCUACAGUUUAAGCAUUAUCAAAGACAGUUACAUUGUGCAAGGAUUUUGGCAGAUAAGUUUUGAGGUUAUUAAAAUUAGAGCAAAGGUUAGAUUAAGGUAUUUGAAGUAGUGGCUAUGUAAAUUAGUUGUAUUCUGUUAUGUCAGCAAACACCAAACUAAACAGUUCUCCAUAAGAGUAUUCUUAAGAAGCUAUAUUGGGUGUUGACUGUUAGUGUGGUGUGAGCUCUUAGAAAAAGCCAUGGUAGUAGAUUUUGUUUUCUAAAUAGUGGGAAACAGUAUGCUUUUAGUCACGUUAAUGAAAAUCGCAAUUGUGACCUUGUCAUUAAAUACAGAUCUUCCUGGUGCAUUAGUGGCAGUUUUUGCUCUAGAUUUUGGAGGAUUUCUUGGGUAAAUCCAAGCUUUGAGUUUAACAUUAAAUGUAGUGGAUUUAAGGUUUUCUAAGUUUUGUCUUUAUGGUUCCAUGUUAGCUACUAGGACUGGCAUAUGUGUUCACAUGUUGACCUCACCUUAAAGUGUAAACUUUUUUAUCCCGUUUUUAUUUGGCACCUGCAACUUUGUUCCAAUGAUGUUUGUACUUGCUGCGCUACUGAGUUGCAAUGCUGUUGGCCUGUUAUGUUCCUGUUUUCCUAUUUAGGCCAAGUUACCAGUGUUGGCUGUUUUGUAAGGGAUUGUUUAUUCUUUAAACAUAACAACCCUAGAGAACAAAAGGGAUAUUUUGUUUUAAGUUACAUUGUCAAAGUCAGUAAGUGUACUGUCUUUAGGGCAGUGAAUCCUGUUUAAGUUCAAGUUUAUGAUUAGGUGACAAGUUGACACUGAGAUUGUCCUUUCCCUGAUCAAAAAUGAAUAAAGGCUUUUUAAAACAA